rnacentral:lncRNA from 1 species
UCCACAGAGAGCAGCACAAGGCUCCAAGUAUCCUCGCUGAACCAAGUAAAACUUGAAUCAGCCUAAAGAUGCUUCCCCUUUUGAAACUCACCGUCCUGUGUGGCCUGCUCGUUGGCCCCUCCUGCUGCCUACUGGAUCUUUCUCUUCCAGGAACUGUGGGCUCUCUUCUGAACACCGGCCUAAGUUUAGAUCUAAAGAAGUUACUGACUUGGGAUAUCCCUUCCUUGUUAAAUAAAGUGAAGCAACUUUUAGAAAAUGGUGGGAAUUUGGUUGGUGAUGCUUUGAAAGAUCUGCUCUACAAAAUGAAAGAAAUCUUGAACGUGAAGUUUUAUAGAUUUCUACUCCUGAAGAUCGAAGCUAAAGCGGGUUUUACUCCUCUGGAUGCCACAUUGAAAGUACCUGCAAGUGCCAUAAUUGACCUGAAAUUAGGUCCAAAUGAGGAAGAUAAUUUGAAAGUGGAUGCUUUUUUGGAGGUAUUUGUAAAAGUCAAAAUAGAGACUGAUCUCAAAACUGGUCGCGGAAUCUUGAUCUUUGGAGAAUGUUACAGUGAUGCAGCCACUCUCUCUCUAUCUGUUUUAGAAGGCAAGCAAAAGGCUCAGAACAAUUUUAUAGACUUUGGAAUUGUCAUAAAAAAAACAAUUUCUUCUGCAAUGGAGGCAAAGGUCUGUUCCAUUCUCAAACAAACAAGCAUCCUCAAGAAUGUCUCACUAUUAAGAAUGAUCAGUAAGUUCAGCCUGAUUUGAUUUUAUCUUUCAAGCUUGACAGAGAG